GACGAACGCUGGCGGCGUGCCUAAUACAUGCAAGUUGAGCGCUGAAGGUUGGUACUUGUACCAACUGGAUGAGCAGCGGACGGGUGAGUAACGCGUGGGGAAUCUGCCUUUGAGCGGGGGACAACAUUUGGAAACGAAUGCUAAUACCGCAUAAAAACUUUAAACACAAGUUUUAAGUUUGAAAGAUGCAAUUGCAUCACUCAAAGAUGAUCCCGCGUUGUAUUAGCUAGUUGGGUAGGUAAAGGCUCACCAAGGCGAGGAUACAUAGCCGACCUGAGAGGGGGAUCGGCCACAUUGGGACUGAGACACGGCCCAAACUCCUACGGGAGGCAGCAGGAGGGAAUCUUCGGCAAUGGACGAAAGUCUGAACGAGCAACGCCGCGUGAGUGAAGAAGGUUUUCGGAUCGUAAAACUCUGUUGGUAGAGAAGAACGUUGGUGAGAGUGGAAAGCGCAUCAAGUGACGGUAACUACCCAGAAAGGGACGGCUAACUACGUG
rnacentral:rRNA from 1 species